rnacentral:ncRNA from 1 species
AAAAGACUUAGUCCUAGCCUUACUAUUAAUUUUUGCCAGACUUAUACGUGCAAGUAUCCGCGCCCCAGCGUAAAUGCCCCUAAGUCCUCAACUAGGACAAAAGGAGCGGGUAUCAGGCACACUCUCCGUAGCCCUAGACACCUUGCUUAGCCGCACCCCCACGGGUAUUCAGCAGUAACUAACAUUAAGCAAUAAGUGUAAACUUGACUUAGCCAUGGCAAUACCAGGGUUGGUAAAUCUUGUGCCAGCCACCGCGGUCAUACAAGAAACCCAAAUUAAUCGUAUACGGCGUAAAGAGUGACCUAGUACUAUCGCCACACUUGAGGCCAAAACAUGUCCAAGCUGUCAUAAGCCCAAGAUAUACCUAAGCCCCCACAACUCCACCUCAACCUCAACGAUUAAUAAACCUCACGAAAGCCAGGAGACAAACUGGGAUUAGAUACUCCACUAUGCCCGGCCGUAAAUUCAAAUGCUUUCCCCACCCAAGCAUUCGUCAGGGAAUUACGAGCACAAACGCUUAAAACCCUAAGGACUUGGCGGUGUCUCAAACCCACCUAGAGGAGCCUGUUCUAUAAUCGAUAACCCACGCUACACCCAACCCCCCCUUGCCCAAAGCAGCCUACAUACCGCCGUCGCCAGUUCACCUCCACUGAGAGUCCAACAGUGAACACAACAGCCCCACCCGCUAGAAAGACAGGUCAAGGUAUAGCCUAUGGGGGGGAAGAAAUGGGCUACAUUUUCUGACUCAGACAAUCAACGAAAAAGGGUCCGAACAACCCACCCUUAGAAGGCGGAUUUAGCAGUAAGGCACGACCAUCACGCUUGCCUUAAACCGGCCCUGGGACACGUACAUACCGCCCGUCACCCUCCUCGUAAGCAGCCCCCCUCCCCCCUUAAAUUAAAACCAUAACCUGCCAAAGAUGAGGUAAGUCGUAACAAGGUAAGUGUACCGGAAGGUGCACUUAGCAUAU